GUGUCAGCCGCCGCGGUAAUACGGAGGGUGCAAGCGUUGCCCGGAUUCACUGGGCGUAAAGGGGGCGUAGGCGGCCAGGCAAGUCAGGCGUCAAAGACCACGGCUCAACCGUGGAACGGCGUCUGAAACUGCUUGGCUAGAGGCCGGGAGAGGGGAGCGGAAUUCCCGGUGUAGCGGUGAAAUGCGAUGAUAUCGGGAGGAACACCGAUGGCGAAGGCGGCUCCCUGGAACGGUUCUGACGCUGAGGCCCGAAAGCGUGGGGAGCAAACAGGAUUAGAUACCCUGGUAGUCCACGCCCUAAACGUUGGGCACUAGGUGUCCCCGAAAGGGGGUGCCGAAGCUAACGCGUUAAGUGCCCCGCCUGGGGAGUACGGCCGCAAGGCUGAAACUUAAAUGAAUUGACGGGG
rnacentral:rRNA from 1 species